rnacentral:pre_miRNA from 1 species
CUUGUACUCCCUCCGUCCAAAAAUACUUGUCAUUGAAAUGGAUGUAUCUAGAUGUAUUUUAGUUCUAGACACAUCCAUUUUGAUGACAAGUAAUUCCGGGCGGAGGGAGUACUUG